GGGAUCAGUGCAGGGAUCACAGCGGGAUCAGUGCAGGGAUCACAGCGGGAUCAGUGCAGGGAUCACCAUGGGGAUCAGCGCGGGGAUCAGUGCAGGGAUCACAGUGGGAUCAGUGCAGGGAUCACCAUGGGGAUCAGCGCAGGGAUCAGUGCAGGGAUCACCAUGGGGAUCAGUGCGGGGAUCAGUGCAGGGAUCAGUGCAGGGAUCACAGCGGGAUCAGCGCGGGGAUCAGUGCAGGGAUCACCAUGGGGAUCAGUGCAGGGAUCACAGCGGGAUCAGUGCAGGGAUCACAGCGGGAUCAGUGCAGGGAUCACCAUGGGGAUCAGUGCGGGGAUCAGUGCAGGGAUCACCAUGGGGAUCAGCAUGGGGGUCAGUGGGAUCAGCACGGGGAUCAGCGCAGGGAUCACACUGGGAUCAGUGCAGGGAUCACAGUGGGAUCAGUGCAGGGAUCACAGCGGGAUCAGUGCAGGGAUCACAGCGGGAUCAGUGCAGGGAUCACAUGGGGAUCAGCGCGGGGAUCAGUGCAGGGAACACAGUGGGAUCACCAUGGGGAUCAGCACGGGGAUCAGCACGGGGAUCACAGUGGGAUCAGCAUUGGGAUCAUUGGGAUCAUUGGGAUCAGCACAGGGAUCACAGUGGGGAUCAGCGCGGGGAUCACCAUGGGGAUCAGUGCAGGGAUCACAGUGGGAUCAGCGCGGGGAUCACCAUGGGGAUCAGCGCAGGGAUCAGUGCAGGGAUCAGUGCAGGGAUCAGUGCGGGGAUCACAGUGGGAUCAGUGCAGGGAUCACCAUGGGGAUCAGUGCAGGGAUCACAGCGGGAUCAGUGCAGGGAUCAGCAUUGGGAUCAGUGCAGGGAUCAGUGCAGGGAUCACACUGGGAUCAGUGGGAUCACCAUGGGGAUCAGUGCAGGGAUCAGCGCGGGGAUCAGUGCAGGGAUCACCAUGGGGAUCAGCACGGGGAUCAGCACGGGGAUCACAGCGGGAUCAGCAUUGGGAUCAUUGGGAUCAGCACAGGGAUCAGUGCAGGGAUCACAGUGGGAUCAGUGCAGGGAUCACAGCGGGAUCAGUGGGAUCACCAUGGGGAUCAGCGCAGGGAUCAGCACGGGGAUCACAGCGGGAUCAGCAUUGGGAUCAUUGGGAUCAGCACAGGGAUCAGUGCAGGGAUCACAGCGGGAUCAGUGCAGGGAUCACCAUGGGGAUCAGUGCAGGGAUCACCAUGGGGAUCAGUGCAGGGAUCAGUGAAGGGAUCACCAUGGGGAUCAGUGCAGGGAUCACCAUGGGGAUCAGCACGGGGAUCAGCACGGGGAUCACAGCGGGAUCAGCAUUGGGAUCAUUGGGAUCAUUGGGAUCAGCACAAGGAUCACAGUGGGAUCAGAGUGGGAUCAUAGGGAUCAGUGGGAUCAGCGCGGGGAUCAGUGCAGGGACCAGUGCAGGGACCACAGCGGGAUCAGCAUUGGGAUCAGCAUUGGGAUCAUUGGGAUGAGUGGGAUCAGUGCAGGGAUCAGCGCGGGGAUCACAGUGGGAUCAGCACAGGGAUCAUUGGGAUCAGCACAGGGAUCACAGUGGGAUCAGUGGGAUCAGCACAGGGAUCAGCAUUGGGACAAUUGGGAUCAG
ensembl:lncRNA